UGGGAGAGUAAUCAGCCCAGAGAGGAAGGCUGUGAGUCUGGACAAGUCUGGGGUUCCUGUUGAGUAAUCAGAGAAUGACGUCCCAAACGCCCAGGAUAGGUCUGUCUCCAAGGAUUCUCUUUUCAUUUUUCUCCCCUCCAGAAACCGCGUUCAAUGGUUCAUCGGCUCUGCCCAGACUGCAGGGUGGAGUGCCACUGAGUGCCCAGAGAUUCUGCGCCAGCUUCUGUCUGGGCACUCAGCCCCUGGGGCAGCUGCACCAUAACUGGGCGUGAAAUCUGAGCAUCAUCCAGGUGGGGCUGCACACUGGUGGUGGUGGAGGGGAUCCCCAUUACCUGUAAAGCGCUUUGAGUGGAGUGUCCAGAAAAGUGCUAUAUAAGUGUAAGCAAUUAUUAUUAUUAAUU
rnacentral:lncRNA from 1 species